rnacentral:rRNA from 1 species
GAUUGAGAGUUUGAUCCUGGCUCAGGACGAACGCUGGCGGCGCGCCUAAUGCAUGCAAGUCGAACGAACGAACCCUCUUCGGAGGAUUAGUUAGUGGCAGACGGCUGAGUAACGCGUAAGUAACCUACCCACUGGCGGGGGACAACCCGGAGAAAUUCGAGCUAAUACCGCAUAUGAUUGCCUGCUGAUGGCAGGUAAUUAAAGGCUUCGGCCACCAGUGGAGGGACUUGCGUCCCAUCAGGUAGUUGGUGAGGUAACGGCCCACCAAGCCUACGACGGGUAUCCGGUGUGAGAGCACGACCGGCCAGAGGGGGACUG